GGGUACAUGGUCUAGUGGUAUGAUUUUCGUUUCGCAGCUUUGCUCCAUCGCAGCUUCGCUUAUGAAAGGUCCCCGGUUCAAUCCCGGGUGUAUCCA